GAUGAAGAACGUAGCGAAAUGCGAUAAGUAAUGUGAAUUGCAGAAUCCAGUGAAUCAUCGAAUCUUUGAACGCACCUUGCACCCUUUGGCAUUCCGAAGGGUAUGCUCGUUUGAGUGUCAUUGUACUCUCACACUCUCCGAUCCUAUGGAUUCGGGGAGCGGUGGACUUGGGUGUUGCUGCCUUUCCUUGUGGCUCACCUCAAAUGUGUCAGUGCACCUCUUGGUUGGACAUAGUACGGCGUGAUAAGUGUCUUCGCCGGCACCUCGCAAGAGGGUGGCCGAUCGGGAGCUCUGUGCUUUCAAACCGUCUUCGGACAAUUUCUGACAACUUGACCUCAAAUCGAGUAGGACUACCCGCUGAACUUAAGCAUAUCAAUAAGCGGAGGA
rnacentral:misc_RNA from 1 species